GCUGGAAUAGCUCAGCUGGUAGAGCAACGGUUUUGUAAACCGUCGGUCGAGGGUUCGAAUCCCUCUUCCAGCU
rnacentral:tRNA from 1 species